UGGAAGUAAAAGUCGUAACAAGGUUUCCGUAGGUGAACCUGCGGAAGGAUCAUUCACAAGAUUAUAUUUUAUAUUACUUUGUGGAACAUUUGGUUGAAUUUACAUGUUUUAUUACAAAAAAUUAAUUAUAAUUAAAAAAAUAAUUUUAAGAAAACCUCCAACAACGGAUCUCUUGGUUCCCAGAUCGAUGAAGAGCGCAGCGAAUUGCGAAAUGUGAUGUGUAUUGCAGUGAAUCAUCAAUUCUUGAACGCACAUGGCACCCCUUUUAGGGGUAUGCUUGUAUGAGGGUGUUUAAUAUGAAAUUGCUUUGGCUUUUUUUAAAUAAAUGGUUUUUCAAAUUGUUACUAAUAGACGAAAGAAUCAGUGCAACAAGCUGUGUUGAAUCUUUCAUUAAAUCUUUUAGUUAACUACUUUAACUAUUUGCACCUCAUAUCAAGCAAGACUACCCGCUGAACUUAAGCAUAUCAAAAGCCGGGAGGAA
rnacentral:rRNA from 1 species